AUUGAACGCUGGCGGCAGGCCUAACACAUGCAAGUCGAACGAGCGGCGGACGGGUGAGUAAUGUAUGGGGAUCUGCCCGAUGGAGGGGGAUAACUACUGGAAACGGUAGCUAAUACCGCAUACUAUCGGAUGUGCCCAUAUGGGAUUAGCUAGUAGGUGGGGUAAAGGCUCACCUAGGCGACGAUCUCUAGCUGGUCUGAGAGGAUGAUCAGCCACACUGGGACUGAGACACGGUCCAGACUCCUACGGGAGGCAGCAGUGGGGAAUAUUGCACAAUGGGCGCAAGCCUGAUGCAGCCAUGCCGCGUGUAUGAAGAAGGCCUUCGGGUUGUAAAGUACUUUCAGCGGGGAGGCGUUACCCGCAGAAGAAGCACCGGCUAACUCCGUGCCAGCAGCCGCGGUAAUAC
rnacentral:rRNA from 1 species